CAUCAUACAAUAAAUACAAUAGGACGAUUGGCAGCCGGGUGAACUUUCAGUCAGUUUGCCACUUUCAUCUUCAACGUGCGCACGCGCUUUUCUCUGUUCUGAGACUCUAUCCUGUUCAUUCUGUUGUAUUUGUUACCACUGUUGAGUUUGUUAAUAUUGCUCUUGAGUUUCUAACUACGCAAUACCGAAUAUGCCACAUUUAAAAGAGGAAGUGAGGAUUGCUUGCGCCCUAAUAAAUGCCUUCGGAAAACGGGUGACAGAUCACCCACUCGUAAAUGAAAUAAGCAACGAUAUAUACCUUAAGCACGACGCCCCAAACUAUCUGUGCGAGUUUGUAAUACAAAACAAUUUAAAUCAACGCAGAGCCGCUUUCCAAGCUAUGAACUCAAGUGAAGGCUUUCAACAGUUUCCCAUCUUAUCAUAUGAGGAUCUGUUGAUAAUGUCUCUGGGGCCGUAUCAAGUGACGCAGGCAAGAAGCUACUAUGGCGAACACCUAAAAGAAAACGGAACGUUUUUCAUUGAAGUGUAUGAAGAUUUUGAAGUUGACUAUAAUUUAAAUCAAUACAACUUAGUAGUUUGUGAUCCUUGGCUGACAAGAGCUAAAAUACUCUCGAGGCACCAGAGCAACAGAAUUUAUUUUGUAUAUAUCUUGCUAAAUAAUAGUUUGAAAAACAGAAAUAAACUUGUCGGUCACUAUUGCAGCUGUAUAGUUGGAAAACGGACACUCGGGUGCUAUGCUCAUGUCAUGUGCAUAGUUUGGUAUAUGGGAUGGGCUCGGCACCAAGAAAUUCAA